rnacentral:sRNA from 1 species
UCUCACAGUUCUGAAGACUGGACAGUCCUGGGUGCAGGUGCUGGUAGAGUCAGUGUCUGGUGAGGGCCUGAGGUGCCUUUCCACUGUGUCCCCCACAUGGUGGAGGGGUGAGGGGUCUCCCUCAGGGCUCUUUUAUAAGGACACGGGUUGCAUUCGUGAGAGCUAAUCACCCCAUGGCCUAAUCACCUCCCAAAGGCCCCACCUCCUCAUACCAUCACCUUGGGGGUUAAGAUUUCAACAUAUGAACUUGGGGACACAGACUUUCAGAGCAUAGCACCCCCAAUUUCAUUCCAUAUCCCCCCAGGAUCCCCCAUGGCCCUGGCCACCUCACCCUGUGUCACAGUUGACUGCCACAUAACACUUGCCCCAGAUCUGGCUUAGUGUACACCUCAGCAUCCAGGUCAGGCCCGGGCACGGGGCAGGCCUCAGAGGACGUGCGUAGAGCUGAGGGCACAAAGGAGCCAAGCAAGUGUCCAGAGCCCUUCUCUCCCCCCAGGUACUGGAAGUUGGACCCUGCUCAGGUCUAUGCUAGCGGGCCCAACGCAUGGGACACGGCUGUGCACGAUGCCUCUGAGGAGUAUAAGCACCGCAUGCACAAUCUCUGCUGUGACAACUGCCACUCGCACGUGGCAUUGGCCCUGAAUCUGAUGCGCUACAACAACAGCACCAACUGGAAUAUGGUGACGCUCUGCUUCUUCUGCCUGCUCUAUGGGAAGUACGUCAGGUGAGCUGCCCUCCUGCCCGCCCACCCACACACUGUCCAGAGGCUGCUCUCCCAAGGAUCCUAGAAAGACCAUUCCUAGUGUCCUUCAGUCAGCCGGGACAGUUGGAACAGAUGCCAGUUGGAGCCAUGGUGGUUCUAGAGUGACGAGCUGAGGGCCUGAUGGAGAGGGAGGUGGCUGUGCUGAAGUCCAGCUCCACCUGGGCCCCAAAUGCAGCUCUGGCACUUGCCCGCUGUGAGACCAUGGGCAACUGCCUUGGUCUCUCUCAGCCACAGCUGUCCUUGGUGAAAUGCAGGCAAUGAUUCUGGCUCCUCAGGGAGGCUUCUACAGAUCCCUGCGCUCCGGUAAAGUGAGCAGAUAGAUCCUCUCAUAAUGACUGCCCCACAGAUCCCUUCCUAGGCAGAGAGAUUGAGUGAGUCGCCCAUGGUCCCCACAGCAGAGCCCAGACUCGUGAGCCAGCAUAGGCUAGUGCUGAUCUGGCCGCCUCUCCAAGCUUUCCUCUUAGCCAUGUUCAUCAUUAAGAGCUUCUGAAAAGAAGACUUUUAGGGAUAUUUUAAGUACUGCAUGGCUUUUAGAAGUCCCCUGAAAAUAACUGUGAUCACACAGAGGUUGAACCCAGACCCCCGGCUCCAAGCUGCUUGGCUCCAGCCACAACACUGCUGACCCUUCCAGCCCCAGAGCUCCCAGUAGUCCCCCUUAUGAAGUCCAUAGGCAGAGGACACACGUGGCUUCCAUACCCAAACUGCAAUUCCUGGUCCUCUUGCUGGAGACCCCAGAGGUGUGGCUAUAAAUGGAGCCAGUGAGGCCUAGAAAUGGGGAGCAUGUCUCCUGUUCCCAAGCAGCGAGGUGUCAGUAAAUCACCAGGAGCACAGAGCAGCCCCUGCCUGGGACCGUAGCUGGUGAUCCCCCAUAGUGGGCAACCAGGCCCAGCCUGCUUCCUUGAUUGACCAAGUUUAGGGUGAGGGGGUGGUUGUAGGGUUUUCCUUAGGGAUGGCAGCCCUAUUGGGGUCUGUGGGUGCACAGGGCUGCAGGCCGCAUGCCUGCUCACCAGGCCCUGCCCACCUAUGCCCGCUCCUUUCUCUCUGUCAGCGUUGGGGCCUUCGUGAAGACCUGGCUGCCCUUCAUCCUUCUCCUGGGCAUCAUCCUCACCGUCAGCCUGGUCUUUAACCUCCGGUGAUGGCUGCUUGGUGGCUUCACACCCACCAGGGUCCCGAGGAAACAGCCACCAUCCCUUUUGGUUCCAGAUUUUUUUCUCCUCACCCCAAAAGGCAGGGUUGGGCCUGCUGUUGCGGACCGGGGGUCGGGGCUGGCAGGAUGGAAGGACUGAGGACCAGCAUGAGGUGGGGGUUUGUUGUCUCCCUGCCUCUCAGAAGCACCCUGUCCCCUCCUCCCCAGGCCUGUGACUCCGGUCCUGGAAGCCCCUUUGUUCUUCUGCUGAAAGGCUUUGGCUUCCCUCUGUAGAGCUGCUCCCGCCACCGCCUGCUGGGGUCCUGCCUCAGCCCAGUGCCCAGUACAGGGAGAGGAGGACAUUUGGGCUCACCUGUCAAGGUGGCCCUGGGACCAGAGCUGGAUUGGGAGCCUGUCUUUCUGCAUUAGCUCUGGUCCCAGCAUGGGGUGGGGUACACUUACGUGUCUCUAUAAGCCAAGCUGCUUCAGGACCUUCACCACUGGCCUCUAGAAUGGUCCAGAGGGGCUGGCUGAGUCCCUUUGUCAGACUUCUGCUGGCAGCCGCCCUGGGGGACAUGUGCGCCCAUCUGGCGUCCUCCAGCCCGUGCAGUCCGCUCGUCACUGUCCCACAGCCUCCCAGUGCCUCCCAGCAUUGGACCCAUCUCCCCCUGCAGUUUGAGGCCAGAGAGGUGAGUGGACCUGACAAGUGCCAGAGUAACCGUGUAGACAGAGCACUGUAGACAGCACUCAGCCCCAGCCCCAGGUGUGGACCUCACGCUGGUGAUGGCUCCCCUGGGUGGCCUGCUAUCACAGCCAGUGCCAUCAGGGAGCUGAAGGGGCUGUCCCCCACCUAACUCCAGCUCCCCCUUUCUUCACGUUGUCACCAAGGCUCUGUGCCGCCCGCCUCGCCCCCCUGCUCUGUGGAUUCCUUUGGGAAGGGCUCCCUGGGCAGGACAAUAAAGUUUUGACUCC